UACGUAGGGUGCGAGCGUUGUCCGGAAUUAUUGGGCGUAAAGGGCUCGUAGGCGGUUUGUCGCGUCGGGAGUGAAAACACCGGGCUUAACUCGGUGCUUGCUUUCGAUACGGGCAGACUAGAGGUAUUCAGGGGAGAACGGAAUUCCUGGUGUAGCGGUGGAAUGCGCAGAUAUCGGGAGGAACACCGGUGGCGAAGGCGGUUCUCUGGGCCUGUACUGACGCUGAGGAGCGAAAGCGUGGGGAGCGAACAGG
rnacentral:rRNA from 1 species